rnacentral:rRNA from 9 species
UUUAAUUGAAGAGUUUGAUCAUGGCUCAGAUUGAACGCUGGCGGCAGGCCUAACACAUGCAAGUCG